rnacentral:rRNA from 1 species
AUUGAACGCUGGCGGCAGGCCUAACACAUGCAAGUCGAGCGGAUGAGUGGAGCUUGCUCCAUGAUUCAGCGGCGGACGGGUGAGUAAUGCCUAGGAAUCUGCCUGGUAGUGGGGGACAACGUUUCGAAAGGAACGCUAAUACCGCAUACGUCCUACGGGAGAAAGUGGGGGAUCUUCGGACCUCACGCUAUCAGAUGAGCCUAGGUCGGAUUAGCUAGUUGGUGAGGUAAAGGCUCACCAAGGCGACGAUCCGUAACUGGUCUGAGAGGAUGAUCAGUCACACUGGAACUGAGACACGGUCCAGACUCCUACGGGAGGCAGCAGUGGGGAAUAUUGGACAAUGGGCGAAAGCCUGAUCCAGCCAUGCCGCGUGUGUGAAGAAGGUCUUCGGAUUGUAAAGCACUUUAAGUUGGGAGGAAGGGCAGUAAGUUAAUACCUUGCUGUUUUGACGUUACCAACAGAAUAAGCACCGGCUAACUUCG